ensembl:lncRNA
AAAAGAAGUGAUAUAAUUCACUAUCAAUGAAUCUUUAUGGUGCUCCCUUCCCUUUACAGGGACUGGAGGGGAAAGAAAAGAGAAAAUUUCAGUCUCUACAGUUCUUUGGUACCACUGAAAUGUGAGGCAGGAGUAGGUGAUUCGGGCUGAGUAGACACAUUGCAGGGCCCAUGGGGAGGAGAGCAUGGAGUAGAAAGGUGGAGAUGGAGGGCUCGGCCUGAUUACAAGAAAAGAAGGCUCCCUCACUGCUGUAAGGUGCCCCGCAAUCUGUCCAGUGCCUAGUCAUUCUUCAUGCUUCAUUUCAUCCCUCACUUUCAAUAAUUCUGGUAAGCUUGUCUUUUCUGGGUUAAUAGGGUGGAGACCUGAAAAAUGGGGAAAUAGGGCAUGUACAGGGCAUACACAGAGGGAGAGGGGCAAGUAACAGACAACGUGAAUUGCCUCCGUCAUCUCAAACUUUCAGUAAAGUCCACAGCAUAAAAAAAACGUGUUGUGUGCGUUAAAUUUUCAGGGGGUAAAGGGUCUGUGUUCCACAGCUUGGGCAAUGUGACAAAGGAACACUGCAUACGGAACAGCAAGAUGCAGCCAGAGUGAAAGGAGAGAAUGUCCUGACAAAGAGCAUGAAGAAAUCCUGGAAGUAGUAAGACGAAGGGGUAAACACAGUCCCUGAAGUCAGACGGUGCUGCAGCUCUGCACGCCCCUCUGCAGGGCCAGAUGGAUUAACCGUGCUAAUGCAAAGAGCCUUACACACACAGUCAAUAAAUGAGGGUCUACCUUCCCUUCUCCAACACCAGAAACCAAUUGUGAUAAUCAGGUCCCACCUGAUUAUCCAGCAGCUUCUGGAACUGAAAAAUAAUAAUGGUGGUUAAAAAGUUUUUUCUGUUUUUAAAUAAGUGUGCAUGAAUAGCAAUAUAAAAAAUGGAAAAACCUAGCUUGGAGACUUGUUUAUUCUGGUUGGGCACUAGUCUUUUGCUGAUUACACUGUAAAUUGAGAAUGGGUAAAUGUUUCACCAUGGACACAGCUGUAUAUGCUGAAUAUAGAUUUCCCAAUAUGUGAGUUUCCAUUGGAGUUCACAGUUCUGAACUUCAUGCCUGAGAGGGCAGCCCACCAACAUGUCAUGCCAUUUGUGAGUUCACUUUUUAAGGCUCAGUUUAAAAGGUGGAAAAUGAAGUUUAGAAGCUAAGAGAAUAAAGACUUAAAGAGCAAGAAAGCCGUAGCUGUGGCCCCAGAUUAUUCUGAUGUAAUAAACUGACGUUUUUCGAAUUUGUAAUUUAUCCUCUUCUUUGCUCUCCACUGACAAGAAAAUUAUUUCCAUAGGAAAACUUUAAAAUAUCGGUUCUUCAUUUGCAUAGUAAUUAGAUAGACUGUAAUGACUAAACUGUAAACUUCUUGGAAGCAAAGGAAAAUACUAGGUUUUCAAACAUGAGGAAAUGGAAAUAAUAGUGAUUUUGAGUAUCUACUUUGUGCCAGGUACUCUGCUAGGUAAUUUGGAAUGUCCAUUUCUGAGCCUUGCCAUAAUUUUGCAUGGUAAGUGUUAUUAACCUAUUUCACAGAUGAAUGGCACAGAGUUUGGUCAACUCACCCAAGAUCACAUGGGUGGUAGAGAAUGGAAUCUGCCACUGUAGGCCUUGCCAACUGCACUGUGCUGUCUUCCUUACAAGAGGCAACAGAAAUACAAUUAGAUUUUGAGUCAGAAGGUGGGGUUUAGGGCCCAGGUCUUUCCUUGUAAGUGUUGAGAGUUUAAUCAAGACAUACCAUUUGCUGGGCUUGAAUUUCCUCGUCUAUAAAAUGAGAAUGUGAGCACCCACCUCACAGCGAACACCUGUGAUCUGUGCAAGUGACUUUUAAGCUGCCAAAAGCCUGCAAAGGAGAAGUGUUUGAGUGGUGACAAUGCUCCCCUUUGCUGCAGUGAGCCCGUCUCCCACCCGCUCUCCGGAUUGGCAUGAGUCAUCAUUGGACACUGGAUGUCAAAGUCAAUGCCAGCCCACGCAGCAGCAUGAAAAUAUGAGUUAUUAACAUUCUUAGGACCUUUGCAAAGCUCAAGCACUAAAUGAACUAGUUCUUAUAAAUUUAGAUUUUCUAAGGUGACUGGUAUAGCCUUUCGGAGUUUCAGAAGCCCAGAGAAUAUCUUCAGACUUGAGUUUAGGAAACGAACACCUUUGAGGAUCUAGGGCAAAGUCUUUUACAGAAUAUACUCCACUAGAUCUGUGAGGAGCCAUAGAGACGACGAAGAGUUCAACCUUAGUUUUGCAGAUGAGGAAAGCGGGAUCUAGACACACACCUAAUUAGUAGCACAGUUAGGACUAGAACUCAGCUGUCCUGGCUCUGAGUUUGUGCUUUCUCCACUGCAUUAGUUGCUCUUAUAAAUUCAUUCACACUCAGAGGAAUGACAUCGAUAACAAAGUUAAUGACAA